AUGUUUGCAGGCUUAACCAUAGAAGCAAAGCAAAUUGUUCUUGAGAUCUUCAAAGCAGGCGUGCAGGUUUCACCAGUUCUUCCGCUUGCCCUGGGCAGGUCUGCAAGUCUACUGGAACCUGGCACACAGCGGCCCUCCUGCCCAGCCACCCGGUUCCUGAGCUUCCUCUCCAUGCAAGAGUCCACUUGUACAACAAACAACAGGCUUGGAAUUGUUCCUCCCCUUCACCACCAGAGCCUGGCAACCAUGCAUUACCCAACAACGGUUACCAUGGCUGCAAGGAGGAAGCAGCCAGCAAGCCCACAGAAGUGUGUAUUGAAGAAAGGGAAGUCAAUAGCUCCUGGAGUUAACAAGUGACUGUUAUUUACGGAAGGAAUGGUAUUUGCAGAUGGGAAUGACUGCAAAAUGCAUAGAAGGACACAGCCAUGCCCUUUCCACGGAAGUCACGGAACAUACCUCGACACACUGAGAAGACGUCCACGACAGGGAAAGAUGACGAAGGUCGAAGGUCUCCUUUCUUCCACAUCGUAGGAGAUUUUCUGCCAUAAAGUCAUUAUAUUCUAUAGUUGUUUAUGUCCUCGGCAUUUGGAGAUAGCUUUUCUCGUGAAGUGAAGACUGGCUCAGAUUGUUUGAUGAACUGCAAGAAUUGUGGCAAUGGGAGGACGAAUUCAUGAAGGAUGCCUCCCUUACCUGUAUAGAGUUGUUUUCAUUGAUAAAUGGUUGUGAUCUGUAAAAUCGUGGAUAUCGACAUUUAUUUAAGGAGAAUGAGCUGUAUUUGGGCAGAUUUGGCUUUGAAUUCUGUCUCUACCUCUUAGAGACUGUGUGACAAUUGUUACUUAAUGUCUGAGUCUCAAAUUUCUCGUCCUGUAAACUGAACAUAACACACUGAAUGUCAUGCUUACAUUACAGGAUGUCCAUGUUCUUCUAAUCAUGCCUUUCUAGUUUCUGUAUUCUCUGAUGUUUUGACUUCUGGGGUCUUGCUGAUCCUGGAGAGACUCCCCCUCCCAGGGCUGGUCAGUUCCUAGUAGUAGUAAGGGACUUACCUGCAAGUAUGCCUUUUGUAUGCAAGCCACCAAUCCAAAGCCCAUUCCCCCAGUGACCCCCUUUAUCUAGCUCUCACUUGCACAGCCACUAUCCCCCUGCCCUAAUCAGCCCAGGGACAGAUAUUAAACAACUAGAAAUAGCCACGAUGCCCUAGACCCCGGUGAAAUUACUUAAAAUGGGUAGUACUACACCUGCUUGCCUGUCCUACAUUUCCCCCUCACAAUCCAUAAUAAAGUCUCUUGCCCACAUUUUCUUCUCAUUCCCUCUGCCUCCCAACUCAUCCUGGCACUUCCCCACGUGGCCCUGCUUGGCAUGGUGUGACCUCCGCUUUUGAACUGUGAGUACACACUCUCUACAUAAUGGCAGUCAUCUCCUGACCCAUCUCCCUCACCAUACCCGAAUAAUAAUAAAACCUACUGUCUCAGCCUAUUUGGGCUGCUAUAACAAAAUACUAUAGACUGAGUGGCUUAAACAGUAAAUAUUUAUUUCUCACACUUCUGGAGGCAGGGGAGUUCACAGUCAAGGCACUGAAGGACUCAGUGUCUGCUGAGAACCUGCUUCCUGGCUCAUGGGCAACCAGCUUUUCUCUGUGGCUGAAAGAAGCCAAAGCACUCUCUAAGGUCUCUUUUAUAAUAGCACUAAUCCGUUCACGGGGCCUCCAUCCUCGUGAUAUAGGUGGAGCCCUGGUGAAUAACCUCACCUCUGAACGCCAUCACAUUGGGGGUUAGGACUGUGAUACAUGCUCUUGGAGGAGACACACACAUUCAAUCCACAACACUCAUGAUGUAAAAACACAUGCCUCAAUCUCUGGAACCUGUGAAUAUUACCCUGUAUGGCAAAAGGGACUUCACAGGUGUGAAGAAAACAUGAAUCUUGAGAUGGGAGAUUAUCUUGGGUUAGCCAGGUGGGCCUGGUGUGAUCACGAGGAUCCUUAGAAGGGGGAGGCAGGAGAUCAGCAUGAGUAGCAGAGGAGGGUGAGGCCACGAGCCAAGGAAUGCUGAUGGCUUCUAGAAGCUGGAAGAGGCGGGGAAUGAAUUCUCCCCUGGAACCUUCAGAAGGAAUCAACACUGCCAACACCUUAAUAGUAGUCCUGUAAGGCCUAUUUCUGGUACUCUGACCUCCAGAACUGUGAUAAUAAAUGUGUGUUGUUUUGAGCCACUAAAUGUGUGAUCAUCUCUUACAGUAACAAUAGGGAACUAAUAUAAGUUUCAACAAAUUAUGAUUAUUUUCACUAUCAAGUAUAAUAAUAUUCAGAAUGUGGAAACACUUUUGAAAAGUUAGUGUCAUGCGAAGACCCAAAUAUGCUGCCUAUAAGAAGCAUGCUUUAAAUACAAGGAAACAAGUAGGUGAAAAGAAAAUACAUGGGAAAUUAUAUAACCUGAUAAUACUAAUCAAAAGAAAACUGGAAUGACUAUUACUACACAAGGCAAAUGUCAGAACAAAGAUUAUUACUAGACAUAAAGAAGAUCAUUUUAUAAUGAUUAAGAGGUCAACUAAUCAAGAGGUAAUAACAAUCAUAGAUAUUUAUGCAUCUAACUUCAGAACUUCAAAAUACAUGAAACAAAAUGAAGAAGACAGCAAAGAGAAAUCCACAAGUAUUGUCAGAGAUGUCUACAACUCUCUAUCAACAGUUGAUAGAAGAACUAGAAAGAAAAUCAGUAAAGAUAUAGAAGAUUUAAAUGACAAUAUCAACCAAUUGAACCUAAUUGACAUUUUUUGAACACUUCACUCAGCAACAACAGAAUACAUAUCCUUUCCAAGUAAACACUGAACUUGUACCAAGAUAGAUCAUAUACUGGAACAUAAAAUAAAUCUCAAUAAAUUUAAGAGUAUUAAUGUCAUACAAAGUAUGUUCAUUAAACUGAAUGGAAUAUAACUGAAUUAGAGGUCAGUAUUGGAAAUAUGUCUAGAAAAUCUUCAAAUUAAUAUAAACUAAAUAACAUACUUCCAAAUAACCUACAUUCAAGGAAGAAAUCAGAAGGAAAAUUAGGAGUAUUUUAAACAGUAUUUAAAACUGAAUGAAAAUGAAAAGAUAACAUAUUAAAAUGUGCUGGAUGCUGCAAAAGCAGUACUUAAAGGGAAAUGUAUAGCACUUAAUGCCUAUUAUAGAAUAGAAGAAGGAUCUCAAAUCAAGAACUUCACUAUCUACCUUAAAAAACUAAACAAAGAAAAGCAAAUGAAAUCCAAAGAAGAAGAAAUAAUACAAUAAAGGUUAGAGUAGAAAUCAAUGAAAUAGAAAAAUAAAAACAAUAGAGAAAAUCAAUGAAUACAGUAUCUGCUUCUUUUAAAAGAUGAAUGAAAUUGAUAAAUCUCUAGCAAGACUGAUCAGGAACAAAAGAAAAGAAAUACAAAUUACUGAUAUUAGGAAUGAUAAUUAGAUCACUACAGAGUCUACCAAUAUUAAAAGGGCAAUUCAGAAAUAUUUUGAACAACUUUGUGUCAGUAUAUUCAACAAUUUAGAUAAAAUUUUAAAAUUUCUUGAAAGACACAAACUACCAGAGACCAUUCAAUAAGUAAUAGAUAACAUUAAUGGCCUCCUAUCUACUAAAGGAAGUGAAUUUGUAAUUUAAAAGAUUUUCGUAAAGAUCCAGAUCCAUAAGAUUUCAUGGCUUUAGUGGUGAAUUCUAUCAAAUAUUUAGGAAAAUAAGAAUACCAAUUUUAUCCAAACUCUUCCAAAAAUUUA
ensembl:lncRNA